rnacentral:rRNA from 1 species
GAUGAACGCUGGCGGCGUGCCUAAUACAUGCAAGUCGAGCGAACGGACGAGAAGCUUGCUUCUCUGAUGUUAGCGGCGGACGGGUGAGUAACUCGUGGAUAACCUACCUAUAAGACUGGGAUAACUUCGGGAAACCGUAGCUAAUACCGGAUAAUAUUUUGAACCGCAUGGUUCAAAAGUGAAAGACGGUCUUGCUGUCACUUAUAGAUGGAUCCGCGCUGCAUUAGCUAGUUGGUAAGGUAACGGCUUACCAAGGCAACGAUGCAUAGCCGACCUGAGAGGGUGUUCGGCCACACUGGAACUGAGACACGGUCCAGACUCCUACGGGAGGCAGCAGUAGGGAAUCUUCCGCAAUGGGCGAAAGCCUGACGGAGCAACGCCGCGUGAGUGAUGAAGGUCUUCGGAUCGUAAAACUCUGUUAUUAGGGAAGAACAUAUGUGUAAGUAACUGUGCACAUCUUGACGGUACCUAAUCAGAAAGCCACGGCUAACUACGUG